rnacentral:rRNA from 1 species
GAUGAACGCUGGCGGCGUGCCUAAUACAUGCAAGUCGAGCGAACAGACGAGGAGCUUGCUCCUCUGACGUUAGCGGCGGACGGGUGAGUAACACGUGGAUAACCUACCUAUAAGACUGGGAUAACUUCGGGAAACCGGAGCUAAUACCGGAUAAUAUAUUGAACCGCAUGGUUCAAUAGUGAAAGACGGUUUUGCUGUCACUUAUAGAUGGAUCCGCGCCGCAUUAGCUAGUUGGUAAGGUAACGGCUUACCAAGGCAACGAUGCGUAGCCGACCUGAGAGGGUGAUCGGCCACACUGGAACUGAGACACGGUCCAGACUCCUACGGGAGGCAGCAGUAGGGAAUCUUCCGCAAUGGGCGAAAGCCUGACGGAGCAACGUCGCGUGAGUGAUGAAGGUCUUCGGAUCGUAAAACUCUGUUAUUAGGGAAGAACAAAUGUGUAAGUAACUGUGCACGUCUUGACGGUACCUAAUCAGAAAGCCACGGCUAACUACGUG